rnacentral:lncRNA from 10 species
CCGCCCGCGCCCGCCUAGCGCAGCCCGCACCCGCGCGAUCCCGGGCCCCUCGGCCGCCUCGCCCGCGGCCCCCGCCCCUUCCCCGGCAGUCGGCUCCCUCUCCCCCCUCCUAGCCCCUCCCCGAAGCCGCGGUCCCUCCGAAAUGGCCCGGCCCGAGGCCCCGACCCGGCGCGGGGCUGCGGACGGGCUGGGCGGUGCGUCCGGCGACUCGCACAGGAAAGCGGACGGCGAAGGGAGGGAGCCUGGGAGAGGGGGAUGGGAGAAGGGAGGAAGAGGGAGAAGGAGGGAGCGCGGAGGAACGGAGGAGAGAGGGGCCAGGAGGGAGACGCGAGGGAGGGAGCGCGAGGCAAGCCGCGAGGGGGGAGAGAGGGGGAGCCGGAGAGGGGGAGGCGCAGCGCGAGUUGGCCGAGGCCGAGGCCGAGGGGGCCGGGGCGCGGGGAGGGCUAGCCGUGGCGGAAUGUGGGGAGCCCGCGGGCCCGGCGCGGGAGAGGGCUAGGUAGCCUCUGGCAGUCAGUCUGCUCCCGGCCGUGAAGCCAGCACCUCCGCCAGCCCACCACCAGUUCCUUCUCCUGGGCUCCCUCCUGGCCCUCCACCAAGCGGCAACAUCUCCCAGGACAAAGGACACAGGGUGAUUUUUGGCAGCAGAAAUUGGGAAGGCCAGAGAAUGGGAGGGAGGCAGGCUGGCAAGCCGGAAGAGCUGGAGCUGGAGUGUGGAUUAGGAGCCCUCAGUAGAGCUCCAGAUUUGGGGUGGGGGUCGGGUACUUGUGGGGCCAGUCUUGCUGGAGGCUAAGGGUGGGCCCUGAAUUGGCAAGAUCCCACCUGCCUUCAGGGAAGGAAGGAGGUUAGCUCUGGAGCAGCUCAGUAGAUUUUUGUCUCACAAUUCCUUGGGCCAGAUUCAACAAAGUUCUGGGAAUACUCAAAAGCUCUAAACAAGAUUCCAGAGCACUGGGGAACUGGGCGCAGGAACAGGAACACUUCCUUGGCCUGGGAAUGAGUCAUCACUCUGAAGUCCCUUGAAUUGGUUGGCACUCACUUUACCACUCCAAGCACACCUUCCUCCCAGGGCCUCCCUGAGACCAGGCCAGCUCCCUGUCUCCCUGUGCACCCCGACUCCCUUCCUCUUGCUCUAGGGUAGCUGCUGCUCCUCCCCACCCCUGACUUUGUUCCAGGGCUCCCCCUUUCCCUCUCACCCUCUCUCCCCAUGGCAUUUCCUCUCUUUCUGUACCACUCAGUUCAGUCUCCCACUGGGCCUUGGCUCAAGCCCUUUCCAAAUCCCUUCCAGGCUGAGCUCUUCUCCCUUGUUUUUUAAUCACUAAGGAAUGGGCUACAAUGGAUACUAAAAGAAAAAUUUAGGCAUAUGUGGGGAUAGGGGAUGGUGAGAGUCACAAAAGAAACCAUUGUCUACCCUCUCCCAUUCCUCCCCUACCUGAGGGCCAGGCUUAUAGUCCAGCUGCAGGGGACAUCUCUCUCUCUCUCUCUCACACACACACACACACACACACACGCACACGCACACACACAGCCCCAGCCAUCCCUCACCCCAGCUCCCUCUCUGGCUCAGCCCCCCACAACCCAUUGGUCUCCAGGCAACGGCACAAAGGGAAAGUGGAGAGAAGGGCCUGGGAGGCCCAGGCAGAGCUAGCUGUAACCCAAUCCAACCCCGAUACUUUGGGGGUUGGGGGGCCAGACUGUCAGAGAAGGCGACCUGGUGAGGAGGGAUGAAAGAAAGGACAGAGGCUAGGAACUAGGCUCAAACUAGGAUAGUCCUGGUCAGUCUGGGAGUUACUAAGGUAAGAUGGGUAUCAGGGACCCCAGAGAAAACUGAGAGGCACAGAGGAAAGUACAGGAAACCCCAAGGGAGGCAUAAAGGGUCGCCAGGAGAAAAGGGAAAGAUGAGAUGCCCACACUGAAACUAAAAGGCACAGAAAUGGAAAGGGGGCAUGAGGCUCUUUGAACUGAAAAUGGCUGAGGUGUCAGGGACCCGGGAAGGAGGGCAAGAAAAGAAAUGGGCCCUACCCAUACAGAACUAGAACCUAUUUUAGCCUUGGAGCUGGGCAGGAUGGCAGAGGGAGCCAGG